UGUCUGAACCUGUAGCUGAAUGUUUACCGUAUAUGGAGAUGAUAUUCAGCUGUUUGUUUCAGAGACAACCUCUCUCUGUGGGAGGAUAUAAGACUGAGAAAUUAUUUCAUUACUCUGUCUGAACAUUCUUCAGAUUUGCAUCGUGUCAGAGUCCUGCUCCUCUUUUCUUCAUCUUCAGACUUUUAGAUUUUAGAUUUCUACAUUUUUGUACCUUCCUGAAACUUCCUCCACCAGCUCUUCGGUAUCCCUCCUGCUGCUGACUCUAGAACUCAUCUCUCUCCUGUCAUUCAGAUAAACAUGAAGAUCUCUAUCGUUGCCGGUGUUCUGCUGGUCUCUGCUGCUCUGCUCUCUGUGGACGGUGCUCGUAAGCUUACAAUGUUUCAAAGAGACCAUAUCGCACCGCGCAUGACUCCUGAACAAUGUGACACAAAGAUGAACAGUCUCCCUACCAAUAGGAAUAGUAAUACCUUCAUCAAAGCGACUAUCACUCAGGUCAGACGUGUGUGUUCUGGAGGAAUUCGUGUUGAACAUAAUCUUUUUGAAAGAGGAGGCUUUGAAGUUGUUAAGUGUGUAUUAAACCCCGCUACUAAUCAAUACAACGGUAGACUUUUCACAGGUUGUAAAAUUAUAAUUGGAUGUGCUAAGUAUGAACCUGUUCAUCUUGAAACUGUUCAGAACUGUAACAUCGGUCAGUAAUCUGUUACUACCUGAUGAAUCAGAGUAAUCUGUUACUAC